GAUGUGUUGACGGUAAAUACGGACCUCAGUGUCAACAUCACUGUUCAGAUAACUGUAUCACCUGUGAUGAAGAUGAAGGAAACUGUUCAGGGAAAGAGGUUAAGCAAUUCGAAGGUGAAGGCAGUAAUGUGGCUGUAUACGCUGGAGCAGUUGGUGGUGGUAUUGGUGGUAUUGUCCUCGUCGUUUUUAUAGUGUAUAUUGUCAGAAGAAGAUUGGCCUCAUCUAGAGAGGAUACAUCGGUGCCAUUCAUAAAAUAUGAAAUACAACAUUCUUCAAAUCGGGAAAACAACCG